AUGGCAACACGUGAUGCAUGCCCGCUUUGUGGGUCUCCUGAUUCAUGGCGGCACGCCCUUGUGUCAUGCACGUUAGCCCGCUACACCUGGGCUUUAUCUGAACCGGGCAUGGUGUCACACAUGGCGGCGAUCGAGGAGCCCAGUGCUAAGAACUGGCUGUUUAGGCUCCAUGAGGUUCUUGAUAAGCAAUCUUUCACCAGAAUGAUUGUGACGUUGUGGGCGAUUUGGUACGCCAGAAGGAAGGAGAGGCAAGUACAUGCAGCAGUACCGCAAGGAAGAGCUAACUAGCGUCCAUCACCGGUGGGUGUUAUGAAGAUCAAUGUGGACGGGGCUGUUGGGCGCCAUAGACGUGGCGGGGCUGUUUCAGCGGUGUGUCGAGACCACACGGGAGCAUAUUUGGGCUCCUCAGCGGCUGUUUAUCAUGGCAUAACGGAUCCGACAACCCUGGAGACACUUGCAUGUAGGGAGGCUCUUGCACUAGCAGAGGAUCUUCAGGUGACAAACAUGAUGAUUGCCUCGGAUUGCAAAGGAGUGGUACAGGAUAUAAAUGAAGGAUCCGGUGGGGCGCACUCGGCCAUUGUACAUGAAAUAUCACUUCGGAGAAGUUUUUUCAAUUCGGUUGUUUAUGUUUUCGAGCGUAGAAAUCAUAAUUUCGAGGCUCAUAAUCUUGCCAAAUUCGCUUGUAAUUUAGGAGUUGGUAGGCAUGUUUGGUUGGGAACUCCCCAUGACCAACGCCGUGUACCCAUGAACAUUGUUAUUAUAUAA
rnacentral:rRNA from 1 species